AAUCAACGCUGGCGGCGCGCCUAACACAUGCAAGUCGAACGAGAAAGCAGGGGCAACCCUGUGAGUACAGUGGCGUACGGGUGAGUAACACGUGGAUGAUCUACCUCUUGGUGGGGAAUAACCCUGGGAAACCGGGGCUAAUACCGCAUAAGCUCGAGAGAGGAAAGUGGCAACACGCCGAGAGAGGAGUCCGCGGCCGAUUAGCUAGUUGGUAGGGUAAAAGCCUACCAAGGCCGAGAUCGGUUGCCGGCCUGAGAGGGCACACGGCCACACUGGCACUGAAACACGGGCCAGACUCCUACGGGAGGCAGCAGUGGGGAAUCUUGCACAAUGGGGGAAACCCUGAUGCAGCGACGCCGCGUGAGCGAUGAAGGCCAUCGGGUUGUAAAGCUCUUUCGGCAGGGAAGAUAAUGACGGUACCUGCAGAAGCAGCUGCGGCUAACUACGUGCCAGCAGCCGCGGUAAUACGUAGGCAGCAAGCGUUGUUCGGAGUUACG
rnacentral:rRNA from 1 species